UUAGGAUUAACCCUCCCAGGAUCGUCGCUAUAACCACUCCGCACAGGGGAGAAUUUGUCAAGAAACUGAUGCUCAAGAUCUUCCCAACAGGUGACGGAUCCAGGAGUAAUACAACAACACCAAUCCCUUGUCGCUCCACGUAAUGAGUACUCAAAUGCCCUUAAGAACAUGUCCUCGUCCGGGACAUCUGGAGGUUUCAUUGAAGAGCAUAUGGUGUAGAACUCCUCCAAAUGUCUAUAUGGGCAUUCACCUGCAAAACCAUGAAACCUAGG
rnacentral:lncRNA from 1 species